GGGCUGAUGGUCUAGAGGUAUGAUUCUCGCUUUGGGAUUGGCUAAACAGCUCUUCUGCGAGAGGUCCCGGGUUCAAUCCCCGGUCAGCCCC